rnacentral:snoRNA from 1 species
ACCUCGUGAUUAGGACAUUUCAUAAGCUUAUCCUUAAAUCUCCCCCAUGCUUCAUACAAAGGCUCCCUAUUGAAUUGACAUAAUUUAUGAUUUUAUCAUACAAUUGUAACAUCUUUGAAGGU